GGUUAAUAUGUGACCCGCACCUCUUGCCUGUUUUCGUAUAGUAAGACUAGAUUCCUACAUGGGCAAAAUUGGGAGUGACUAACAGGUUAAUUGGCUCUCAUAUCAAACUCAGUAGGUCUGAAAUUGACCUCAUCUUCUCUUUUCUCUCCUGUGUAAUUCCAGAUUCCCGGUCAAUGACAAGAUCACUGGCAAGGCUGAAAACUGGAGCCCAAGCCUCCUUCAUAACCAUAGAAAUCAGUCCCUGAGUGCUGUGGACUUUUUUUUUCUUUGAAAUAUUUCUUGUACCAGUGUGAAUUCCUUAUUUUCGUGACCUCCCUCUAGUUCUGCCUUUCCUGAUUCAUUGAUCAAAACAGCUUUCCAGCUGGUGCCUCUUGCAGCACACGAUCCUCUGCUCUCCAUCCAUCCUACAUAUUUUGUAAGAGGAGUCCAUGAGGAGCGCUGUCAACAUUUCAUCUUGAAAAACAAGGAUCAGAGUCAUCCACAAAGUCUCUUUUUUAGCCCUCUAGUUCCUCAUUCCAAGAGAUGCCCUCCUAUCAUUCCUGAAUUCCACUUCACUGUUGUAGUCGAACUCAGACUAUGCUUUGCCUUUCUAAUUCUUGAACAUGCUUUAUUGACUGAAAAUCAACUCAACUUCAUUUAUUUUCCCUCUCUCUUAAAUACUUUCAGUUUAAAAACAAAUAAAGAACCCUUCUUUCCUACAGUUAUCCAUGGGAAAUGAGUAUUUUUAAAUUACCAAAUCAAAUGCCUUGAUGUGUAAAGAAUCAUGUUUUUGCAGACUCUGUAUGAUUAAAUCUUCUGAGAAUGAAAAUGGGCAUUGCAGGGUUUUUUUUUUUUCUCUUCUCUAUUAAAAUAGACCCAACCUCAGGAAAAUUUAAAGAUACAGUAUGUGAUAGAAAGAUGUACCAUACUAAGUUUAAGACUAGACUAAUUUGACUACUUUACACCAUGGAGGAAGUGGUUGAGGGC
rnacentral:lncRNA from 1 species